rnacentral:rRNA from 1 species
CAGUAGCCGCGGUAAUACGUAAGGUGCAAGCGUUAAUCGGAAUUACUGGGCGUAAAGCGUGCGCAGGCGGUGUUGUAAGACUGAUGUGAAAUCCCCGGGCUCAACCUGGGAACUGCAUUGGUGACUGCAACGCUGGAGUGCGGCAGAGGGGGAUGGAAUUCCGCGUGUAGCAGUGAAAUGCGUAGAUAUGCGGAGGAACACCGAUGGCGAAGGCAAUCCCCUGGGCCUGCACUGACGCUCAUGCACGAAAGCGUGGGGAGCAAACAGGAUUAGAUACCCCCGUAGUCCCUGUCUCUUAUAC